GUAGUAGUAGUCAUCGUAAUCGACAGUGGUGGAGGAGUCAGAGUCAUCAGGAUGCAGAGCAAGGUCCAGAGGCAAAAAGCGAGGCGACCCAAUUCCAGGUUUAUAGAGCUUUCAGGCUUAGACGGAUGCUAUUACGGGCGUCUCAUGAUCAGACAAUCAUGUAUAUGUAGUAUAGAAUCUACAAAUGGAAUUCUGAUCCAGCUCAAUAUGAAAGUUUAUGGAAUGUAAUCAAGUGAUUCACUGUUAUGGGAAUGUAAUCAAGUGAUCACUGCUGGAGCUGAUUUAAGUGAAAAUGUCGUGCAUUGGUGGAUGAAAUUAAUGAGCUGAUGGAUCCUUUGAAUCUAUCAAAUGGAGACAUGUUGGUAGAGAAUGCAAUUAUGCGUCACACAGAAUUGCCAAGGAAGU